GAUGAACGCUGGCGGCGUGCUUAACACAUGCAAGUCGAACGGAAAGGCCCAAGCUUGCUUGGGUACUCGAGUGGCGAACGGGUGAGUAACACGUGGGUGAUCUGCCCUGCACUUCGGGAUAAGCCUGGGAAACUGGGUCUAAUACCGGAUAGGACCACUCCUUGGGUGUUGUGGUGGAAAGUUUUUUGGGUGUGGGGUGAGCUGGCGGCCUAUCAGCUUGUUGGGGGGGUAAUGGGCUACCAAGGCGUGGACGGGUAGCCGGCCUGAGAGGGUGUACGGCCACACUGAGACUGAGAUGAGGCCCCGGCGCCGACGAGAGGAAGCAGGGGGGAAGAUUGCACAAUGGGCGCAAGCCUGAUGCAGCGAGGCUGCGUGGGGUAUAACGGCCUUCGGGUUGUAAACUCCUUGCGCGAGGGACGAAGCGUUUUGUGACGGUACCUGGAGAAGAAGCACCGGCUAACUACGUG
rnacentral:rRNA from 1 species